GACGAACGCUGGCGGCGUGCUUAACACAUGCGAGUCGAACGGAAAGGCCCUGCUUUUGUGGGGUGCUCGAGUGGCGAACGGGUGAGUAACACGUGAGUAACCUGCCCUUGACUUUGGGAUAACUUCAGGAAACUGGGGCUAAUACCGGAUAGGAGCUCCUGCUGCAUGGUGGGGGUUGGAAAGUUUCGGCGGUUGGGGAUGGACUCGCGGCUUAUCAGCUUGUUGGUGGGGUAGUGGCUUACCAAGGCUUUGACGGGUAGCCGGCCUGAGAGGGUGACCGGCCACAUUGGGACUGAGAUACGGCCCAGACUCCUACGGGAGGCAGCAGUGGGGAAUAUUGCACAAUGGGCGGAAGCCUGAUGCAGCAACGCCGCGUGCGGGAUGACGGCUUUCGGGUUGUAAACCGCUUUCGCCUGUGACGAAGCGUGAGUGACGGUAAUGGGUAAAGAAGCACCGGCUAACUACGUG
rnacentral:rRNA from 1 species